GCGGGCGUGGUGUAGGGGUAACACACGAGCCUUCCAAGCUCGUAUCGCCGGUUCGAGCCCGGUCGCCCGCU
rnacentral:tRNA from 1 species